AUAAGGACUUGCAUGUUUGCUGACUUCUGUGAUCCUUAGUCUGGGAAAUAUCCUUGUCAAGUCAAAGGAGCAGCAGUGUCUAUACUUAAAUGGGCACCAUGUUUUGUACUGAUCGUGCUUAGCUAUAGACCUUUCUUGGUAUAACUGUUGUUGGAAUAAUAAGCAGAAGAAAGUACAUUCAGAAAGAUAUCUUCCAUCUUAUCAUGGCUGAAACAACAAAUGUAAAUGCUGGUGCUUUAUAGUGCUGAGACUACUGCAGGAGGACACUGGUGGGGAAAUUUGCCUAUGAAUUUUCAAAAAGGCUGAAGAUGAGCAGUGCUGGUAAACCUGAGCCGUCGGCUGACUCCUCAUUUCAGAAAAGUGUUCCGACUUCCUCAUUGUUCCCCAUGAAGGUAAUUGAUUAAUUAUAAAAUCAGAUGCUUAGAACAGUUAUUUGAGGGCUCAUAAAAUUGGAAUGAAAACAAAUAGGCAAGAUUCAAAUACUUACAAAACAGAUUUAUUUCAGGAAUAUUUUCUUUGAAUAAGUCCUCACUAAUUUCCAUCAUUCUAUUUGGGGAAAAUACACUUCUAUAGCAUUAGUUUUUAGUCUUCUACACUGUCCCUUUCUUCUUGCUUCUUUUCUCUCUGACACUAAAUUCUUUGUACAAUCCCACCAACACACCACAGUAGCAACAUAACACUGCUUUCCAAAUAUAGCUGCACUGAGGAUGUCUUUUUCUGGUGGUUGAUACUUGAUUUUGUUGCUCUGUUAGCCCCUCCUCUUGAAGUGGUGUGGCUGUUCUGCCAAUUUUUUUCCAAGAUGAGUGUGUGUUUGUACAUGUGUGUGUGCAGAGGGAGUCCAGCCCUUUGGUUGCUCUGUGCCACUAUAAUGGAUGUUUGGUUGUAAAUUGAAUUGAAUGGAUACAAUAAAUUUCACCCUUUCUGAUAACCAAUGGCACAAUGGAUUUUUAACUUUACAAAACCAAAUUGUUUUGAUAAUGAUAAAAGGUAUAUUUCUGGUAAUAGAUUUUUAUAUUCUCUGUGCUGUGAUUCUAUGUAUGCUGAAUGCUAUGGUGUUAGGGUUGGGGUUUUUUGGGGUUUUGGUUUUCUUUUUUUAGUCAGAUAACAUGGCUUUUCUGUUUAAUUGUUUAGCUCUGUUUAAUUGUUUGGUGUUACAUUUUAAACUGCACUGAACACAGCAGUUUCAAAGAAGAGAGAAUUAAUAAAAAGGAGUAAAAUAUUUUUCGUUAUGAUUUAAAAAAAAAAAUAAAAAAUGACUUUUUGAAAGGCUGUAUGCUGCAGUCUCCAAAAUGC
rnacentral:lncRNA from 7 species